rnacentral:rRNA from 1 species
UACGGAGGGUGCGAGCGUUGUCCGGAAUCACUGGGCGUAAAGGGCGCGUAGGCGGCCGUGUAAGUCACUUGUGAAAUCCCGGGGCUCAACUCCGGGGCUGCAGGUGAGACUGCGUGGCUAGAGCACGGUAGAGGCGAGUGGAAUUCCCGGUGUAGCGGUGAAAUGCGUAGAUAUCUGGAGGAACACCGGUGGCGAAGGCGGCAUCCUGGACCGGUAUUGACGCUGAGGCGCGAAAGCCAGGGGAGCAAACGGG